rnacentral:rRNA from 1 species
CCCUACGGGGGGCAGCAGUAGGGAAUCUUCCACAAUGGGCGAAAGCCUGAUGGAGUAACGCCGCGUGGGUGAAGAAGGUCUUCGGAUCGUAAAACCCUGUUGUUAGAGAAGAAAGUGCGUGAGAGUAACUGUUCACGUUUCGACGGUAUCUAACCAGAAAGCCACGGCUAACUACGUGCCAGCAGCCGCGGUAAUACGUAGGUGGCAAGCGUUAUCCGGAUUUAUUGGGCGUAAAGGGAACGCAGGCGGUCUUUUAAGUCUGAUGUGAAAGCCUUCGGCUUAACCGGGGUAGUGCAUUGGAAACU